CGGAAGAGGGGUUGAAGGCAAUCGGCAGAUAUGAAAUAUAAUGAAAUAUUACAGCAAUCCCCAUCGUUGUGCUGCACUUCUAUGCUCCCCUACGUCUACGCUCUCCGCACUGACCGGCGCGGUGAAGUAUGGUCAGACGAACCCAACUCGACUCGAACGGGCUUGGCGAGACCCUCAUCCAGCAGCGGAUUGACCAAAGGAGCUGCACAUUUGGCGAUUGAGAUCUCAAGAAAAAACACGUUGACAGCAAAGAUCAAACAAGGGAAGAUGGUCUCUGCAUCACCUUCCAUCAAGCUUCCUGCAAAACGGCGACACUCACCCUUUGACUGGUUUGAGGGUCCAGAUGUCGACACCACUUCUGAAUCUGAGGAUUAAAAGAGAAUCGGAGUUUGUUUUGAGGGACGUUGUUUUACGUUCCAUUGUUCUUGGCGAAAUGGUAGCCAGGGUGGAGACUUUUAGCCACCGCAGUUCAAAUGUUUUGGGUGUUCAGUUUUAAGUCGCUGAUUUUCAUCAAUUUUCAGAGAGGAGGUGGGGGGGUGGACACUUUCGCCGUUAACACUGGUCAACAACAACAACACAACAUGUUUUUCUGGCCUGGACUUUUGCAGCUGUUCUAGACUAAUUUCAGGGUGCCGAUUCCAAAUCUGAUCUCAGAUUUGCUCAAUCACAUCUCAUUUUUAAAUCCUUUAUAUUAAGUUCGCUUGCUUGCUUAGGACCGUGCAAAUCUUUCGGUCGUUUUUUAACCCACUUCCCGUGAUCCAAUCGAGCUGACAUUUUGUACACAGAC